AUUGAACGCUGGCGGCAUGCCUUACACAUGCAAGUCGAACGGUAACAGGUCUUCGGACGCUGACGAGUGGCGAACGGGUGAGUAAUGCAUCGGAACGUGCCCAGUCGUGGGGGAUAACUGCUCGAAAGAGCAGCUAAUACCGCAUACGACCUGAGGGUGAAAGCGGGGGACCGUAAGGCCUCGCGCGAUUGGAGCGGCCGAUGUCAGAUUAGCUAGUUGGUGGGGUAAAGGCCUACCAAGGCAACGAUCUGUAGUUGGUCUGAGAGGACGACCAGCCACACUGGGACUGGGACACGGCCCAGACUCCUAAGGGAGGGAGCAGUGGGGAAUUUUGGACAAUAGGCGCAAGCCUGAUCCAGCAAUGCCGCGUGCAGGAAGAAGGCCUUCGGGUUGUAAACUGGUUUUGUCAGGGAAAAAAUCUUCUGGGCUAAUACCCCGGGAGGAUGACGGUACCUGAAGAAUAAGCACCGGCUAACUACGUG
rnacentral:rRNA from 1 species